rnacentral:rRNA from 1 species
UACGUAGGGGGCUAGCGUUGUCCGGAAUCAUUGGGCGUAAAGCGCGUGUAGGCGGCCCGGUAAGUCCGCUGUGAAAGUCAAGGGCUCAACCCUUGGAUGCCGGUGGAUACUGCAGGGCUAGAGUCCGGAAGAGGCGAGUGGAAUUCCUGGUGUAGCGGUGAAAUGCGCAGAUAUCAGGAGGAACACCGAUGGCGAAGGCAGCUCGCUGGGACGGUACUGACGCUGAGGCGCGAAAGCGUGGGGAGCAAACAGG